rnacentral:rRNA from 1 species
CGUCUUAAGCAUGCAAGUCAAACGGGAUGUAGCAAUACAUCUAGUGGCGAACGGGUGAGUAACGCGUGGAUGAUCUACCUACGAGAUGGGGAUAACUAUUAGAAAUAGUAGCUAAUACCGAAUAAAGUCAAUUAAUUUGUUAAUUGAUGAAAGGAAGCCUUUAAAGCUUCGCUUGUAGAUGAGUCUGCGUCUUAUUAGCUAGUUGGUAGGGUAAAUGCCUACCAAGGCGAUGAUAAGUAACCGGCCUGAGAGGGUGAACGGUCACACUGGAACUGAGAUACGGUCCAGACUCCUACGGGAGGCAGCAGCUAAGAAUCUUCCGCAAUGGGCGAAAGCCUGACGGAGCGACACUGCGUGAAUGAAGAAGGUCGAAAGAUUGUAAAAUUCUUUUAUAAAUGAGGAAUAAGCUUUGUAGGAAAUGACAAAGUGAUGACG